UGAGGAAUAUUGGUCAAUGGGCGAGAGCCUGAACCAGCCAAGUAGCGUGCAGGAUGACGGCCCUAUGGGUUGUAAACUGCUUUUAUAUGGGAAUAAAGUGAGGGACGUGUCCCUUAUUGCAUGUACCAUAUGAAUAAGGACCGGCUAAUUCCGUGCCAGCAGCCGCGGUAAUUCGGAAGGUUCGGGCGUUAUCCGGAUUUAUUGGGUUUAAAGGGAGCGUAGGCCGUUUGGUAAGCGUGUUGUGAAAUGUAGGAGCUCAACUUCUAGAUUGCAGCGCGAACUGUCAGACUUGAGUGCGCACAACGUAGGCGGAAUUCAUGGUGUAGCGGUGAAAUGCUUAGAUAUCAUGAAGAACUCCGAUUGCGAAGGCAGCUUACGGGAGCGCAACUGACGCUGAAGCUCGAAGGUGCGGGUAUCGAACAGG
rnacentral:rRNA from 1 species